rnacentral:rRNA from 1 species
GACGAACGCUGGCGGCGUGCCUAAUACAUGCAAGUAGAACGCUGAAGAGAGGAGCUUACUCUUCUUGGAUGAGUUGCGAACGGGUGAGUAACGCGUAGGUAACCUGCUUUGUAGCGGGGGAUAACUAUUGGAAACGAUAGCUAAUACCGCAUAACAAUGGAUGACACAUGUCAUUUAUUUGAAAGGGGCAAUUGCUCCACUACAAGAUGGACCUGCGUUGUAUUAGCUAGUAGGUGAGGUAAUGGCUCACCUAGGCGACGAUACAUAGCCGACCUGAGAGGGUGAUCGGCCACACUGGGACUGAGACACGGCCCAGACUCCUACGGGAGGCAGCAGUAGGGAAUCUUCGGCAAUGGGGGCAACCCUGACCGAGCAACGCCGCGUGAGUGAAGAAGGUUGUCGGAUCGUAAAGCUCUGUUGUAAGUCAAGAACGGGUGUGAGAGUGGAAAGUUCACACUGUGACGGUAGCUGACCAGAAAGGGACGGCUAACUACGUG